UACGUAGGGGGCGAGCGUUGUCCGGAAUCAUUGGGCGUAAAGCGCGUGUAGGCGGCCCGGUAAGUCGGGUGUGAAAUCUUGGAGCUUAACUCCGAAACUGCAUUCGAUACUGCCGUGCUUGAGGACUGGAGAGGAGACUGGAAUUUACGGUGUAGCGGUGAAAUGCGUAGAUAUCGUAAGGAAGACCAGUGGCGAAGGCGGGUCUCUGGACAGUUCCUGACGCUGAGGCACGAAGGCCAGGGGAGCAAACGGG
rnacentral:rRNA from 1 species